rnacentral:rRNA from 1 species
CCUGAUUAAAUAUAGGAGGUCCAGCCUGCCCAGUGAUAAUAUUCAACGGCCGCGGUAUUUUAACCGUGCGAAGGUAGCAUAAUCACUUGUUCUUUAAAUGGGGACUCGUAUCAACGGCAUCACGAGGGCUAUACUGUCUCCUCUCUCCAAUCAGUGAAACUGAUCUCCCCGUGAAGAAGCGGGGAUUUAAUUAUAAGACGAGAAGACCCCAUGGAGCUUUAAACCCAAUCUGCACCCCUACCCCGCUCAAACAUCAACUAAACCUCAGGGGCCUACACAUUGGUUUUAGGCUGGGGGGACCACGGAGCAAAAUAAAACCUCCACAACAAAUGGGCUAGCACCCUUAUCCGCGAUUUACAAAUCCAAGAAUCAUUAAAAUGAUGUUUAAUGACCCAAUAAUUUGAUCAA